rnacentral:tRNA from 1 species
GCGGCUGUAGCUCAGCUGGAUAGAGUACCUGACUACGAAUCAGGUGGUCGGAGGUUCGACUCCUUCCAGCCGCGCCA